AGCUUGCUCUCUUGGCGGCGAGUGGCGGACGGGUGAGUAAUAUAUCGGAACGUGCCCAGUAGCGGGGGAUAACUACUCGAAAGAGUGGCUAAUACCGCAUACGCCCUACGGGGGAAAGGGGGGGAUCGCAAGACCUCUCACUAUUGGAGCGGCCGAUAUCGGAUUAGCUAGUUGGUGGGGUAAAGGCUCACCAAGGCAACGAUCCGUAGCUGGUUUGAGAGGACGACCAGCCACACUGGGACUGAGACACGGCCCAGACUCCUACGGGAGGCAGCAGUGGGGAAUUUUGGACAAUGGGGGAAACCCUGAUCCAGCCAUCCCGCGUGUAUGAUGAAGGCCUUCGGGUUGUAAAGUACUUUUGGCAGAGAAGAAAAGGUAUCCCCUAAUACGGGAUACUGCUGACGGUAUCUGCAGAAUAAGCACCGGCUAACUACGUGCCAGCAGCCGCGGUAAUACGUAGGGUGCAAGCGUUAAUCGGAAUUACUGGGCGUAAAGCGUGUGUAGGCGGUUCGGAAAGAAAGAUGUGAAAUCCCAGGGCUCAACCUUGGAACUGCAUUUUUAACUGCCGAGCUAGAGUAUGUCAGAGGGGGGUAGAAUUC
rnacentral:rRNA from 1 species